AGUGAACGCUGGCGGUAGGCCUAACACAUGCAAGUCGAACGGCAGCACAGUAAGAGCUUGCUCUUACGGGUGGCGAGUGGCGGACGGGUGAGGAAUACAUCGGAAUCUACUUUUUCGUGGGGGAUAACGUAGGGAAACUUACGCUACUACCGCAUACGACCUACGGGUGAAAGCAUGGGAUCUUCGGACCUUGCGCGAUUGAGUGAGCCGAUGUCGGAUUAGCUAGUUGGCGGGGUAAAGGCCCACCAAGGCGACGAUCCGUAGCUGGUCUGAGAGGAUGAUCAGCCACACUGGAACUGAGACACGGUCCAGACUCCUACGGGAGGCAGCAGUGGGGAAUAUUGGACAAUGGGCGCAAGCCUGAUCCAGCCAUACCGCGUGGGUGAAGAAGGCCUUCGGGUUGUAAAGCCCUUUUGUUGGGAAAGAAAAGCAGCAGGUUAAUACCCCGCUGUUCUGACGGUACCCAAAGAAUAAGCACCGGCUAACUUCGUG
rnacentral:rRNA from 1 species